GUUCCUUCUCGCCAGCGAGGCAGCGAGAAAACAACGGAUCAGAGUCCUUGUCCCUUUGCCCAUGCCUGGCGAAAAAACAGAUCGGAUGCGAAGCCACAAAUCUCGUCCCUCAUCGCCGUCGGGCACGACUCUCUCAGCGGUCGCCCCUGCUUCCUCCGGUUGGCGUGCGGGCCGACGGAGGUUGCCUCAAGGGCUUGUCGCGGGCAUGGAGGCGCUUUCCCUCGGGGGACUCCUCUGUGUCCUUUUCCAACGGCGGCCAUGGACGAGGGAAAGCGGCAAGAGUUUGUCCUUUUCCAACGGCGGCCAUGGACGAGGGCCAGCGACGAGAGUGAGGAUCGACCAUGGACGGGACUGCUGCAAGUCAGCCACCUCUCCCUGACACCUCCAUGCGCCGAUGUAAGUCUGUACUCCAUACUGCCGCGCCUCCAGCUCGCGGAGGGGAAGGAUCAGAGGUGACGGAGGAAGGGGAGGGGAACUCACCAUGGUAGUGCCCAUGGAGGAGGGGAGCGGACAGCAGGGGAGGGGAGGUGAGCUUGGUCGCACACAACGAAACAGCUGCUCCAGGCCACGGGCAUCGCUGUCUAGCACCAGCAGGGGAGGUAGGAUGGUGAGUUGUGGGGGACGACCAGCGCGGGGUAGAAGGUAGGCGGACUGGAUGGAGGAGGUAGGGCAUCUGAUUGCUAGAGCGCGCGUGUUUGGCUGCCAAUUGCUACCUGCAGGUACAGGAGUGCUAGCUGCUGCUUUAAAUUUACUGCUCUACGUGUGUUGUGCAGUAGAGUAAACUAUUGGUCUGAGAACAACGGCGGAUGAGAGUUCGACAGACUAAUCAGUUGAGCAUCUUAGAUUGAUCAAAUCGUUCGGUGGUUCAUUAUACUAGCAGGAAAGGUCAUGCCCAUGCACAUUUUCAGUUCUGAGUUGUGCUGACUGUUGAUUCGUAUUGCGUGGAGUCUGUCGCUAGAAGCUAACCCGAGAUGACGUGCAUAUUGCCA